rnacentral:rRNA from 1 species
CUACACGGGUUUCUAAUCCUGUUUGCUCCCCACACUUUCGCACCUCAGCGUCAAUACCUGUCCAGGCGGCCGCCUUCGCCACCGGUGUUCCUCCUGAUAUCUACGGAUUUCACUCCUACACCAGGAAUUCCGCCGCCCUCUCCAGGAUUCGAGCCCCGCAGUUUCAAGUGCAGUUCCACGGUUGAGCCGUGGGAUUUCACACCUGACUUACAAGGCCGCCUACGUGCGCUUUACGCCCAGUAAUUCCGAAUAACGCUUGCACCCUCCGUAUUACCGCGGCUGCUGGCAC